rnacentral:rRNA from 1 species
CUACAGGCUUAACACAUGCAAGUCGAGGGGCAGCAUGGUCUUAGCUUGCUAAGACUGAUGGCGACCGGCGCACGGGUGAGUAACACGUAUCCAACCUGCCGUCUACUCUUGGACAGCCUUCUGAAAGGAAGAUUAAUACAAGAUGGCAUCAUGAGUCCGCAUGUUCACAUGAUUAAAGGUAUUCCGGUAGACGAUGGGGAUGCGUUCCAUUAGAUAGUAGGCGGGGUAACGGCCCACCUAGUCUUCGAUGGAUAGGGGUUCUGAGAGGAAGAUCCCCCACAUUGGAACUGAGACACGGUCCAAACUCCUACGGGAGGCAGCAGUGAGGAAUAUUGGUCAAUGGGCGAGAGCCUGAACCAGCCAAGUAGCGUGAAGGAUGACUGCCCUAUGGGUUGUAAACUUCUUUUAUAAAGGAAUAAAGUCGGGUAUGCAUACCCGUUUGCAUGUACUUUAUGAAUAAGGAUCGGCUAACUCCGUGCCAGCAGCCGCGGUAAUACGGAGGAUCCGAGCGUUAUCCGGAUUUAUUGGGUUUAAAGGGAGCGUAGAUGGAUGUUUAAGUCAGUUGUGAAAGUUUGCGGCUCAACCGUAAAAUUGCAGUUGAUACUGGAUAUCUUGAGUGCAGUUGAGGCAGGCGGAAUUCGUGGUGUAGCGGUGAAAUGCUUAGAUAUCACGAAGAACUCCGAUUGCGAAGGCAGCCUGCUAAGCUGCAACUGACAUUGAGGCUCGAAAGUGUGGGUAUCAAACAGGAUUAGAUACCCUGGUAGUCCACACGGUAAACGAUGAAUACUCGCUGUUUGCGAUAUACGGCAAGCGGCCAAGCGAAAGCGUUAAGUAUUCCACCUGGGGAGUACGCCGGCAACGGUGAAACUCAAAGGAAUUGACGGGGGCCCGCACAAGCGGAGGAACAUGUGGUUUAAUUCGAUGAUACGCGAGGAACCUUACCCGGGCUUAAAUUGCAGAUGAAUUACGGUGAAAGCCGUAAGCCGCAAGGCAUCUGUGAAGGUGCUGCAUGGUUGUCGUCAGCUCGUGCCGUGAGGUGUCGGCUUAAGUGCCAUAACGAGCGCAACCCUUGUUGUCAGUUACUAACAGGUUCCGCUGAGGACUCUGACAAGACUGCCAUCGUAAGAUGUGAGGAAGGUGGGGAUGACGUCAAAUCAGCACGGCCCUUACGUCCGGGGCUACACACGUGUUACAAUGGGGGGUACAGAGGGCCGCUACCACGCGAGUGGAUGCCAAUCCCCAAAACCUCUCUCAGUUCGGACUGGAGUCUGCAACCCGACUCCACGAAGCUGGAUUCGCUAGUAAUCGCGCAUCAGCCACGGCGCGGUGAAUACGUUCCCGGGCCUUGUACACACCGCCCGUCAAGCCAUGGGAGCCGGGGGUACCUGAAGUGCGUAACCGCGAGGAGCGCCCUAGGGUAAAACUGGUGACUGGGGCU